CCACUCCCAUCUCUGUAGUCUCCUUCAUUUUGACAUUCACAGAUCUGCCUAGAAACUGUGACAAGGGUUACAGUUACACGUAGGAGAGUUCUAGUCAGAGAAGUCUCCUACAUCAACUCCCGGACGUUAUUCUUCUCCCGGAAUGAAUCUUUCUCCGCCUGAAGGGAUGAACUCUUUUCUGUUGGAAAACCCCCACCUGUUACAUAAAGACGUUUAUUUCCCUAGGGGCUUGUCAUCUUCAGGGACUAUCUUUCCAGGAGGAAGGCUCUUUAAGAGUGGUUUUAAAAAUGUAACUCCGGGCCCGUGUGCGCGCCAGUGUUAAGCUUAGAUUGGGGGGAGGGAAGGAAGAAGGAUACAAUGAGUUGUUUGUGACCUUGAGCUAGGCGUUUAUUUCACUUCUCAGCCUUUGUAAAAUGGAGAGUGGAACUAAAAUGGAGUGUGGGACGAGCGGAUCCCUGGAAGGUCCCUCCACCCCUAGCUUUUGAGGAGGAAGCCGAGAGAAAGAACGAGGCAGAGCAGAGGGUCAGAAGAGAAACAUUGGAGAUUUUCUCAGCCUUGAAUGAAGCCUGGACUUCAGGAAUGUCAUUAACAGCAGGACUUUUCAUGAUCAAUUCCAGUAACCCAGAUCUCAAGAUACGCCUCAAUAAAAUUCAAGUAGCCCUCAUUGGAACAAAGCCUCCAUUUGGUGGGAGCCGACGCCUGAAGCCGGGGAAGUGACACCUGCCGGUGGAGCCUGGCCCUGCAGGCCGAAGUGAGCCCUGCCCCUCCCCCGCCCCCCACCGGGCUCCAGAGCUGUGACGUCACAGGGGAGUCAACAGGAUACUAUCCUCUCGCAUUCAUCCCAGGCAGGCCCUGAAAAGGAUGGAGAGCUGGGUCCAGAGGCAGGGAGACGAGUUACCAUCUGCCCUCCGAUUCUGAUGAGGAGGUCUGAGAGGAGAGAGGUCCUGGAGGGAGAGCUCCUGGAGAGAUCUUGAAGGAGGCAGUGGAAGGAGAACUCAGGAGGAGUCAGGAGGAGAAUUCUCUGGAAACAUUUCUUGAAAGGAGGGUCUCUUGAAGGUGGAGCCUGAGGUUGGCAUGAGAAGCCUUACCUAGAGAGAUCUUGGGUUAAUUUUGGGAAAAUGUGGAAAGACCUACAUGAAAUUAUGAAGAGUGAAAUGAAGAGCAACGAGAACAUUAUAUGCAGCCACAGAAAUAUUUUUUGAAGAAUGACUUGUGUAAGUCCACCUCUAGAGAGAAUGAACUGAUAAAUAGAAAUAGGUAAGAAAUUGUUUUAUAUAAACAUAUAUCUUUUUGUUAAGGUAUGCCUUUUCUAAUGGGAGUAGGGGAGGGUGAGAGAGAAUUAAUUGGAUAUUUUAAUUUAGCAAAGAAUAUUUCAAAAAAUUUAUUUAAAAUGUGUGCCUAAUCAAUUUUUUAAAAAGUUAUUAAUAUUCAUGCCUUUUAAUGUUAACAAGGUUGUAAAAAAGUUAUCUAGACCCUUCUAAACAUCUUGUCCUGUGCAUUUAUCAGGAUUUUGCUGCUGCUUUAUUUAUAUAUAGUCUGUUUACACUGAAUAUGUCACUAUGUAUGUAUAUUUUUUCUUUUGGUUCUGUUUUCUUCACUCUGUUUAAUAUUAUGAUCAUAUUUUAUUAACUUCUUUAUAAUUUUGCUGUUAUUAUUAUUGGUAAAAGAUUGUAUGAAUAUUUUUUUAUAGUGAUUCUUAGGUAAAUUCACACCCUUUCUAAAAAAAGAUUGAACUUAAAACUAUAGCAACUGUUUAUUAGGGUGUCAAUUUUCAACAGCUGCACCUAUGUAAUAUUAUUUUUCAAAACAUCUUUGACAAUUUGAUGACAAAUUGCUGAUGAUCGCCCCUUCUCUUGUCCAAUUGCUGUUCUAUAGCCCACUUGUAGGCAACAUGAGUCUUUCCAUUGGCCUUUGGAUUACUUGUAAUUUUACCUACAAUAUGCGAUGAAAAUGAGGUUAGAAAUUAUACUUACUGUUUGGCAAACUGGUUAUACAUUUUCAAAAACAAAUGUCCAGGCUAUUGUAACCAAGACUUACUCUUCACUUAUUUCAAGGACAUUGCUGUUGGCUUUAUUUCCAUAAGAUGUUUAGGAAUAAUCUUAUAUAUUUGAAAACAACCAAAAUAAAACACCACACUUUCAAUAUCUCCUGAAUUUUCUUUUGGACAGAGACCAUAUUCUUAUUCAAAUAUAUGAGAGGUAAGUAAGCCUCAGAAGAUAAAGGAAACUGAUUUACCUUCUUUCUCUAGAUUCAUUGGGUAAAAUACAUUUGUAGCACAAUGCUAUUAUCUUUUAAAAUUUGCUUUGAUGAGGCUUUACUUUCAUUUAGAAUACAAAAUAUUCACAUCAUUUCUCCUUUCCUUCCUUCCCUGACAUCUCUCCCACACUUGCUACUAAGGGGAGAAAUAGAAAACUACAUGAGAAAAAACUGUGUGAAUUCCAAUAUCUGUAAUUUUUAUUAAUAGAAAACUAAAAGUAGAAAAUGUAUUUUGAAAUGGUCAAAUUUCAUACAAAAUUCCACAAUACUGUGUACCAGAUUACCAUAAUACCUUCCACUGAGUGUUCUCUGAUGUUUCUUGUGGUCCCCAGCCAAAGCAUAAUUUUGUCUCAUUUCUCACUCCCAACAUGAGCUAUUGUGAAGUCUGCUGUUAAAACCAAGAAUUUUCUAUGAAGUCAGAUGCUUAAAAUCGGUGGCCAUUCUCUUCUAUGUCUUCUUGAUGGCAAACAUCUCCAUAGUUGGUCCAUAACCAUGCAAGUUGAGUGAAGUCAAGGGUAGACCUUAACAAGGAGCAGUACUAUAGUUAAACAAGACCCAUAGAUUUCCCAUUUGAAUAGCAAGAAGCCACUCUAGACAGAAGGUCUAUUAGUAUAACAAAUAAAGAAAAAAUGUUAAAAAAAAACCAAACCAUUGAAACCUUUUCUAGCAAUCUUAGUAAUGAUUUGAGAGUCAAUCAACAAACAUUACUUAGGUUUGCUUUAUAGAAAUUUCAAUAAAAAUAUAAAGAAUCCUUGUUUUCAAAGGACUUAUAUUCUGUUUAGAGGAUAUAACAAGUUUACAAUUAAGUAGAACCCUAGUCUUUUUCUUGAAAUCUUAUGGGAUUACAUUCUACUUCCAAGUGUACAUUCCUAUUAUUGCAAAUAAUAAAAUUGAUGGCUCUGUUGUCA